rnacentral:rRNA from 1 species
UACGGGGGGGGCAAGCGUUGUUCGGAAUUACUGGGCGUAAAGGGCUUGUAGGCGGCCAACUAAGUCAUACGUGAAAUCCCUCGGCUUAACCGGGGAACUGCGUCUGAUACUGGAUGGCUUGAGAUUGGGAGAGGGAUGCGGAAUUCCAGGUGUAGCGGUGAAAUGCGUAGAUAUCUGGAGGAACACCGGUGGCGAAGGCGGGAUCCUGGACCAACACUGACGCUGAGGAGCGAAAGCCAGGGGAGCAAACGGG